GGGGAUGUAGCUCAUUUGGCAGAGCGCGUCAUUAGCAUCUUCAAGGAAGUUGAAUUGACGAGGUACCGGGUUCAAUUCCCUGCUUCUCCAACA